rnacentral:rRNA from 1 species
UACGAAGGGAGCUAGCGUUGCUCGGAAUCACUGGGCGUAAAGCGCACGUAGGCGGCUUCUUAAGUCAGGGGUGAAAUCCUGGAGCUCAACUCCAGAACUGCCCUUGAUACUGAGGAGCUCGAGUCCGGAAGAGGUGAGUGGAACUGCGAGUGUAGAGGUGAAAUUCGUAGAUAUUCGCAAGAACACCAGUGGCGAAGGCGGCUCACUGGUCCGGUACUGACGCUGAGGUACGAAAGCGUGGGGAGCAAACAGG